rnacentral:misc_RNA from 1 species
UGUAGGGUGGCAACAACUAUUUCCCGGAAAACGGAAAUUUGAACAGCCGUCAUGCAAUGUUGUCGUGAGAAAUUAGGAAUCGGUUUUGUUGUGUUGGGAAAAUGAAAAACAUAUUAACAUAUUGAAUCGUAUCACUCCAUUAAAAUAAUUUUAUGCUGUUUAAAAUUUGCAUGAUGCAUGAAAUUUUAAAAGUUUAUAAUGUAUUAAUUUCAUUUAAAUAAUUAGUAUUUUUUUAAUUAUUAAAUGUAUGGAAGUGUAAUUUCUUAGCGUAGGAAAAUUUACUUCUUUGCAUAAUAACUUCUAAAAUUCUGAUGGUGCCCCAAAUAUUUGAUCCAUAUUAUUUUAAGUGAAGUAUUUAGUAUGAAUGGCAAGAGUAAAUUUUCAAACAUUGGUACAUUGGAAAAAAGUAAUAUUAAUAUCAAAGAGAUUCGAAAAAAGUUUGAGAAUUUGUCUACAAAUGAUGAUUUUGAAAUAAAUAAUGAGCAGUCUACGUCAAAAAUUCCUAUUCCACCUCUUCGUAAGAAUAAAAGUAACUCUCGAGAUAGUAAAAUAAAACAAUUGGAUGACAAAAAUUCCGUUAAAAAAGAAACUUCUGGAACUCCUUGUGAAAGAAAACCAUCAGUAGUAAAGCUAUUAGAUGAUAAAAAUUCCAUUAAAAGAGAAACUUCUGGAACUCCUUGUGAAAGAAAACCAUCAGUAGUAAAGCUGUUAGAUGACAAAAAUUCUGUUAAAAGAGAAACUUCUAGAACUUGUGAAAGAAAACCAUCAGUAGUAAAGCUGUUAGAUGACAAAAAUUCCAUUAGAGGAGAAACUUCUGGAACUCCUUGUGAAAGAAAACCAUCAGUAGUAAAGCUAUUAGAUGACAAAAAUUCCGUUAAAAGAGAAACGCCAGGCACACCUUGUGAGCGGAAACUAUCAGUGAAAGAACGCACUAAAAUUUUUGAAACCAAUCCACCUGAAUUUCCCACUGGAGAAUUAAAUUCUAAUGUUUCUGAGACUGAUUCCUCAAAAGUACCUCAAAAUGUGCAUAAGCAAAACGCAUUGUACAUCAAUAUGGAACACAACAGUCAAAUGCUGCUUACGCCCCCUGUAAAACCUCCUAGAAGCUAUCAUCUUUCCGAAAUGAAAAAUCAAGCAUCUAGUCAUGCAUUGAAAAACAUAUCAAAAACUACUGCAAAUAGAAGAUGUUCAUAUAAUGAGCCCAGUAAAAAUCAUGUUCCUAAGCCCAGAAAUAGUUCCUCAUUCAGUUCUAAUUCUAAAGUGGAUAAAAAUGAUUUAUGUAAAUCUGCUAGGCCUGAUGUUAGUGAAUCCUGUAGCAGUUUGACUCCAAAGUCUCAAAAUAUUGCUGCCAAAACACAUUCCAUUAUGAAUUGUUUGAAAAAUAUAUCAAUAGCUGCUAACAACAUUCGGGAGAAAAUGAAACAGUCCAGUGUAUUUGUUGAUUUGACACCUACAACUGUGAGUCCGCCUAAACAUUAUGGAACAUUAAAGAGAAGUCAUAGCGAAGAACAUAUUUAUGCUGAACCUUAUGAAAUUUUGAAAAAAGAUAUUGAAAAAUCGCCAAAUGUUUCCAAAAAUGGCCAACCUUUACACUAUAUGUGUACGCCUCUUAUUAAGCCUAAAUUACCAGAUAAAAAUCCAGAAAAAAGUAGACUUAGUCGAGAACAUGUAAGAACAAUGAUAUAUGAUUCAUUUGCACCUUUGCGAACUGUUCCAAAAGAAAAUCAAGAAUUGAAGGAUACAAUUCCAGAUUCAUCAGAAGCUGACAUGAAAGCGAUUCAGGCUCGAAUUAUUUACGUUAAAUCAAUAAGACAGGUAUCAGGCUCUAGUAUUUGUCUUGCUCCUAAGUUGUAUGAAGCUUUAUAUAUCAUCAAUGUAACUGAAAAUCAACCUGAAAUUUCCUAUUCCUUUCCUUUGAAAGUUCCUGAAACCUAUAGAUAUCCUUUAUUACCUCACAUUUGUUUUCCUAAUGAUCUUCUCUUUAAAAGUGUGUCUACAUAUCAAAGCGAAACAUUUUAUUUUACUCUUCUUGAUAAAGGGGAAAAAGUUUGGGGAUAUUGUCUCAGGAUAACAGGGUGGCCUGAUAAAGGACUGGACUUCGAUAAUUUGUGUGUUAAGCUCCCAGUUGCUAUCUGCAUUUUAAGUUGCUUUUAUGCCCCAUUGUUUUAUAAAAGGCUUUUACUGGAAAUUGAAAAACACAUAACUUUACCUCGAGUGAAAUGUUUUAAGUACAUCAGAUCUCUCCAGAAACUAGGUGUUCCUAAUGCGGGUGCUAGUGUAUCUAUUCCUGAUUAUACUGAGUCUGUUGAAGAUAACAGGGUUGUUAUUUCAAGACCAUUUGAUUCUCAUACAGUUGGAUUUGAAUUAACUAGAGCACUACAACUUCUAGAUGUUGACAUCCUUAUGAAAACUGUUUCUUCCCUGCUCUUAGAACGAAGAGUUCUUCUUAUUUCAUCUUGUGUUAACAAUCUCUAUCAUUGCUGCCAAGCAAUUUCUCACUUACUUUAUCCCUUUGAAUGGCCUCACACAUUCAUUCCAGUUUUGCCUGCCUGCUUAACAGUUUAUUGUUGCUCUGAGUUGCCAUAUAUUAUAGGAGUUUUAAGUAGUGACUACAACUCACUUUUAGAACUUUUAGCUGAGCAUGAGCUACUUAUCUUGGAUGUUGAUAAAGGAAUAGUAAUUAAAUCAUAUAAUGAUGAAGAUACUAUUCUACCCAAAAAGAUCCAAAAAGCAGUCAUUGCUGCCUUGAACUUAGCCAAAAAUAUGACAGAUCCAACAGAAAUGCUGAGAGAUAUCAUGAUAUCAGAAGCAUUUGUACACAUGUAUGUAGAAAUGAUUGGCCAUUAUGAAAAUCAUUUUAUAGAGCAAGAUGAGAAUCUAAUAUUCCAGAAAGAUGGUUUGCUGAAAAAUGCCAUUUCCCAUAGUAUCCAGACAUUUUUGCAGUGGUUUUCUGAAACUCAAAUGUUCGACACAUUUAUCAGUGAGAGUAUAUGGAGAAUAAACUAUAGAAAGUUAUGUCAAACUAAUUUAAGAACUUUUUUUGAAAAGCGAGUUGACGAAUAUAAAUGGGAGCUUUCUCAUGGUGAAAAAUUCUCUCGUUUUAUUGAAAAAACAAAAAAUUUUGGAGGAAAAUUGAUAAGUAAAUUAAAGAAGUAAGAAAGAAAAUGGGUCCACAAAUACUGAACUUAAUAUUUUUAUUAAUAAAAAUGGAACUUAAAAUAUAAAUGUUGUGCUAUAUGAAGCAGUUUUUCUUAUAUUGUUCUCCAUGUUGCUAAAGUUAAGCAGAAUUGUUUUAUAACUUUUUAUACAACAAAUUAAAAUUUUUAUACUCAUUUUACAUUACGUGCCUUAAGCUUUUUUGUUUAAAUUUGUUGUUUUUAUGUGUGGAAAAAUAUGCUGACCUUAAUGUGAAGACUUUUAUACCCAGUUUUCUUCUGUUUUUCAAUAUUUUCUUUUGUUUGUAUUUAGUGAAUUUUAAACUUUCACUGCAUAUUUUUUUAAUUCAGUUUUAUGUGUUUUUCAAGGUCUACACAUCACUGCAUUCCAUAUUUUUUAAUAAAAUCUUUAUAGUUUUAUAAUCUAUUAAAAUAAUUCCAUUUUCUCAAUCAAAACUUUGUCAUCUAGAAAUUUUAAUUCUGAAAUGUGUAGUUUUAAUCAGUUUUAGUUUUAUUUAUUAACUUGUUUCAUUAAUUAACCCAUCAUAUAAAUAAAAUUAUUAACUAAAAUACAUUUUUAAUCAUUAUUUUUAAAAAAAUCAGAUUUCUCAUGUUAUUUUUUAUUAAAAUUUUAAAGAGAUCUCUAUAUAGUGCAAUGUUAGCAAACAAUUAACUGCCAGUAUAUUAAAAGAUCUAUAAUGAGUGCAGAACUGUAUCUUGCACACAAAACAAUAUCCAUGACAUAUUAUAUGUUGUAUUAUUUCUGUGACAAUUUUUAAAAUUAUGUAUAACAAUUCUAUUUUGCUUAGUUAUUUUUUUUACUGUGCAAAAAUUGAUACAUUUUUGAAUUACGUUUAUUGCUAUUAUUUAUUCAAGGAUGAAUAUUUGUUCUUAAUAUUUUGAGUAUACGUGAUCUGUUGGAUGCAAGUUGAUGAAUAUUUUUUCCAAAAAAUUCAUGUAUAAGCGUUUUUUAAAUUUUCUUUUAUCCAUUCAAAUUUUUAUGAAAGUGAAAAGAAAAAUAUUAAAACACGUUUUCGAAUAAUAUAAAAAUCCAUUUCAUGUUAUUAAAAAAUUAACUUUUCUUUUAGAUGCAACAGAAAUUUAUGGUUAACUUAAUUAGGUGUUCUGACUUUUUUAAAAGAAAGUUUACUAUUUUUGUAAUAAAUGUAUUAAACACAACCUUUCUUUAUGACUUGUUUUUUUCUUGUGCAUAUUCUGAAGAAAAAAUAAUGUAUAUAAAUUUCUUCUCUAAUGAAUUAUUUUUGUUAAAAAUAUAUACAUUCUUAAGAUAAUAAAAUAAUAUGUAUUAUGAGCAGUUGAUAAUAAAAUGUUCCUGCAAGGGAAAGUAUUCAUUAUCAAUAAGUUUGGAUGAUAUAAAAACUCCUCACCCAUAUUACUUAUAUUGGAACAUUCCUUACGCCUUUCCCAUUUGCAAAUGUUUAUUCCAAAAUUAAUAAAAAUAAAUAAUAAAACUCUUUUAAAAUAUAGUUCAUGAAGCAUUUUAACUUUUUUUUUUUAUUGAAAUUUAACUGCUGUGUAACUUCCAACAAAACUAUAGUUGUUAAAAAAUGUUUCUAAAAAACAUUUUUGUUAAUAAAACUUAUGGUUCGAGUUUGAAACAUGUUGUACUUUUUGAAAAAUAAAUCUGUAAAUGUCUUUAAAUAAAACUACCUCAAAAUAAAAAAAAAUGGAGGUAAACAUUUGAGAAAUACCUGGUUACUUACUGUUCAUUUUCAUAAAACUUCGUGAAUCAUUUUUCAGCCUAGAUAUUUUAUUGGGAUUCUUAGACAUUAAUUUCUAUUGAAAAUAUUCUGCCUUAUUUAAUAAGAAAAAAAUGUUAAAGAAAAUAGUUGAAAUUAAUUAAUGUGUGUAAAAAUUAAGCCUUAUUUAGCCGUACAUGUAAUGGUAGAGUUUUUAUUAUUGUUUUUGUUUGUUUACUACUUUGCAUAUUUUUUUAAUUCAAAUUUUAAUAAUAUAUUUUAAAUAUCUAGUAGCAAUAAUAACAUUCCACUAUUCAAAAAUUACACAAAUGCAAAUGUAUAUAUUUACACUGUGUUUGCAUUGUGCAUGUGAGGUUAGGUUAAUACCAAAUUAAUGCGCAUUUUUGAAGCUUAAAAUAUCUGCUUUUAUUUUAUCUUCACUUAUUUCUUUUAACACAUCUAUUAGUCUUUCAAACUUUUGAAAAUUAUUUAUUAAGUUUUGUUCAGGCUAAAACUGUAUUCAAUUUUUAAAUAUUUGGAGGCACAAUAAUAAAAUAAAUUUUUGGUGAAAAGUAACAAGAAUAGAUUUUUUAAAUGUAAGUUUUACUAUAUAGGGAAAUUGCAAAAAAAUGCUCUAUUUGAAAGUUUUUAUGAGUACAUAAUAGUUUACAUAUUUUUAUUUAUAUGGUCUGUAAAGUCACUAUAAUUUUACACUUUAGUACAGAAAUAUCUUUGCAUACUAGUCAAGUAUUUUUUUAUAAGGAAAAAUAAUUAUAUCUUAAAAGCACAAUUGUUUUAGUUUUUAUAUAUCCAGUUUAACGCAGCUAUGCAAUUAUAGUUACUUUUAAAAUACAAAUAUUGCCUUUCGAUUUGCGCUUAAGUGCCAAUGUUAAAUGUCUGCUGUGAUUUUUUACUUUUCUUCAUUUUAAUCGAGGAUUGCAUGUUUGGUUGUUGUGUUGUAAUUAUUCGAUAAAACCAUUUUCGUGUAAAACGUUUGUUAAAAAUAUUAAUUUAAUAAUAUAUUUUUAUUUUUGUGAAAAAAAUUUUGUACCAAAGUUCAACAUCUUUGUAAUAUCCAAACAUUUCUAUAAGUUUUUAUAUUUAAUUAGUGUUUUUUAACUUAGAAUAAUAUUUUUAUAUAAUUAUCUUUAGCUUGAGUGAGAAUUGUGGGAAAAAAGUAAAUACUUUCUUUUAAAUUACUCUAAAUUUUUGUAAAUACUUUUGUGAAUAAUUCAACUUGAAUAAGUAUGUUUGUUCAUUGUUUACAUUUUAGACAGACUCAGGCUAUGAAUACAUUUUAUGUUUUUAAUUUUUUUUCUUAUUUAAUUACUUUUGUAUACCUCAGAAUUCUUUUUAAUUAGAGGACUGUCAUUUUUAUAAAUCAGCAAAAAAUCGAAACAUGACCACUUAUUAAUAAUUUUGUAAACAUAAUAAAUAUAUAAUUAUUUAUUAUUGUAAAUGGCUGUGCUUUUUGAAAUUUCACUAUUUUUUAACAUGUAAGCAUAUUUUUAAUGUGAUUGUGAUACAAUAUUACUAUUUUUAGAUGUGAUUUUAAUUUUGAACGACAACAUUGUGUGUUAAAAGUAUAUCUUUUUGCAAGAUUUGUUUGAUUUUUUAUAUUGAAGUUGGUCUUUCAAUUAAUAAAUUGUUUUUUCAUUGUUGCUUA